UUAGAAGCUUGAAGAUGGAAAGUGAGUCCACACAGAGUGAGCCCCUUGGAAGCACACGCCUCCGUCAACAGGACGCCUGGAGUCUGGCCGUGACAGCCACAGCAGGACGGUCCCUGGGCUCCAGGACCCAAGAAGACCCUGCUACACGGCCCAGGUCAGAGACUCUGGUUUGCCCAGGAGAACAACCGAGGAGAACUCGCACUCCAGAGAGCGAGGCUGGGCCCAGCCACCCGGGGAGCACGGAGGAAAGGCCGCUCUCUGGAAAGGGCCGCAGCUCCUCCAGGGCUCGGAGGACCAGAGCAGAGAAGGGCAAACACAGGCUCUGGGCAAAAGGUCUCCUUGUCACGGUGUCUGGCUCAGGAAGCCUUCAUAAAUGUCACUGUGAUGUAGUCCCCUGCUCUGUGGAGUGGGUAACAGCCGAGCUGGCCCAACUUUGUCCCCCUGAGAGUCUCCUCCUGUGACAUCUCAUGCUGCGUCUUUGCAUCCUCUCACACAAGCUGCAAAGCAAGCUGGCAGAAGGAGGGAUAAGCAGCAGGACUACCCAGGUGAUCAGCAGAUGGGUCGGGAGGAGACGGGGUUGUGUCCUAUAAUUAAAUAAAGAUGGGUCCCAGGAACAACCGCAGCCAGGCAUCUGAUGGCCCGUGGGCCCCUCCCUC
rnacentral:lncRNA from 1 species